rnacentral:rRNA from 1 species
AGGACGAACGCUGGCGGCGUGCUUAACACAUGCAAGUCGAGCGGUAAGGCCUUUCGGGGUACACGAGCGGCGAACGGGUGAGUAACACGUGGGUGAUCUGCCCUGCACUUCGGGAUAAGCCUGGGGAAACUGGGUCUAAUACCGGAUAUGACUUCAGGUUGCAUGACUUGGGGUGGAAAGAUUUAUCGGUGCAGGAUGGGCCCGCGGCCUAUCAGCUUGUUGGUGGGGUAAUGGCCUGCCAAGGCUUUGACGGGUAGCCGGCCUGAGAGGGUGACCGGCACACGUGGGACUGAGACACGGCCCAGACUCCGUACGGGAGCAGCAGGUAGGGGAAUAGUUGGACAAGUGGGCGAAGCCUGAUCCGAGCAACGCCGCGUGAGGAUGACGGCCGUUCGGGUUAGUAACCUCUUU